AGAGUCACAAGGGUGAAUUUCAUGCUCUCCAGAUACAAUCCCCACAACCAAACCACUCUCCCAGGUAAAGACCCUUACAUCUUUAUGGUGGAUGCUGUUGGAAUAGUUCAAGCCCUGGAAAGGAUGGGUGUCUGUGAAGAAAGAGAAAGUACCUGAGAAAGUGAAGUCGGUGCUUAUGGACCGAAUGUGUGGCAACUCGGGGGAAAGAG
rnacentral:lncRNA from 1 species